CCUACGUGAGGCUGCAGUGGGGAAUAUUGGACAAUGGGCGAAAGCCUGAUCCAGCCAUGCCGCGUGUGUGAAGAAGGCCUUCGGGUUGUAAAGCACUUUCAGUGGGGAAGAAAGCCUUGGGGCUAAUACCCUCGAGGAAGGACAUCACCCACAGAAGAAGCACCGGCUAACUCCGUGCCAGCAGCCGCGGUAAUACGGAGGGUGCGAGCGUUAAUCGGAAUUACUGGGCGUAAAGCGCGCGUAGGCGGUCUGAUAAGCCGGUUGUGAAAGCCCCGGGCUCAACCUGGGAACGACAUCCGGAACUGUCAGGCUAGAGUGCAGGAGAGGAAGGUAGAAUUCCCGGUGUAGCGGUGAAAUGCGUAGAGAUCGGGAGGAAUACCAGUGGCGAAGGCGGCCUUCUGGACUGACACUGACGCUGAGGUGCGAAAGCGUGGGUAGCAAACAGGAUUAGAUACCCGAGUAGUC
rnacentral:rRNA from 1 species